AUCGCGCCGCCGCCAGUCAUCCACUCCUCUCCUUCCUCGGGAUCCAUCCCAAUCCACCCAAUCCUCCAUCGAUCCAACCAGCCAACCACCCCCCUCCUGCAACCACCCCCAAGGCCGCCCCUUCCUUGCAUCGAUCUGGAGCCCGACGCUCUCUCUGCGCCCGAGCUCCUCCCGAUCCCCAUGGAUGCCUUCCCCUGUCCAAGCUCUUCAACUGCGAGCCUCCCGCUCGCUCGUGCCUGCAGCCGCCUGAGCCCCUGUCUAGGAGCUCCUCGGGCAUCUGUGCCCCGCCGUUCGGCCACCGGUUCGAGCUGCCGGCGACCAGGCCGUCCCACUCUCCUUCCUCCCCCUCUCUCUUUUAUCCAUCUCCCUGCUCUUGCUCAUAUCUCUCUCUGUUCACGAGCACAGGAGAAGUGGAGCGUCCCGCCACCAACCUCGGUCGUUGCUGUUCGCCGUUGUUCUUCACCGGAUACUGCAUCCCCGGCCACGGGUCCGGUCCUCCUCUGCCCUCUCGUGAAGCCCUGAUGCGCCAAGUCCCUCCUCCGGCCGGUCCUGCUGCGGCAAGUCCCGCCGGCCUCCCUGUUGCCGCGCCUGCUUCGCACUGUUGCCGCGAGUGCAGAUGCCGGUGAAUCCCGCAGGUCGCCGCCUUGCCAAGUCCCGCGUUGCGCCGUUCUGCUCCGCUCCCGGCGGCCUCCUCCCCGCCUGCCCGUUGAAGCUCCAUCCGCAGCUGCUGCCCCCGUUUCGCCAAGCGCCGCGCCCCUGCUUCGUCUCGCUGCGAGAGGAGUAGCGAGUCAGCGCUCGGCCACCCCAAGCGAGGACAGCGAGUCCCGCUCGUCCGCGCCCGCAUUGACCACUCCCCUCGUCCUCUACCUCCACAUGGACCGAGUGGCCUCCCCUACUCGCGUGGGUUGCGGCCUCUCCAAGGCCUCAAGGCCCGAGGUGUUGAGCGCCUCAUUCCUCUUCUGUGCAGCCCAGUUUAUAGAUGCGGCCCGUAAAUGUUUUUUUCCAGUCUCUACGAAUUAAACAUUAUCCAGAAAACUGUAGUUUUUUAGAAAAACCCCUCAGCUUCAUGCAUUAAAUAACUACAAAACCAUGCAUCGGUUUAAAAUGAUCUAAAUAUGAAAAAUGCUUACAAUUUUGUGUAGAUUAAUAAUUUGCAACUUUCUUGAAUGUUUGACUUGUUUAAAAUGUUGUUUGGUUAAAUUUGCUCCUAUGCCAUGUUAAAAUGCUUUAUUUCAUAACUAAAUAACCGUAACUCGGAAUUUAACAAACUUUAUAUGUAAAUGGGGUAGAAUUUUGCCUAGUUUAACAUGGUGGCCUUAUUUUACAUGUUUAACAACUCUAAAACAUGGUUUAGGGCAGAACAGUUCCAAACCUUAAAAUAUGCACAUGAGGAGUUUCCGGAAUUGUUGUUUGUUAUUUCUGGCCUCAUUUAAACUUGACUAGAUAGUUAGUUUACUUAUGCUUCACCCCUUGCUAUGGUUGACAACAUUUAAUUUUGUUGGGUACAUAAACGAGAUCGAACUAAAUACUUGAAUGUGGUGUUUCGUCAAUAUGCAACGGAGUUGUAUGUUGAGCUCCACUUAAUUUGUAGGAUUGUUUGUGCAUUUUGCCAUGCCAUGCUUCAUUAAACCGGACAUGCAUCAUACUUGAUUGUGCAUCAUGCCAUGUUUACAUGGUGGUUAUUUACUAUGUUGUUUGCUUUCUUUCCGGUGUACUUCUCGGUAAUCAGGUAACGUCGCGUUUGUGAGGAUCCCUUCGACUACGUCCGUUUGUCUUCUUCAUGGACUCGUUCUUCUUCCUUGCGGGAUUUCAGGCAAGAUGAUCAUACCCUCAAAAUCACUUCUAUCUUUGCUUGCUAGAUGCUUGCUCUUUUGCUAUGCCUAUGCUACGAUGCCUAUCACUUGCUUAUCAUGCCUCCCAAAUUACCAUGUCAAACCUCUAACCCACCAUGUCCUAGCAAACCGUUGAUUGGCUAUCUUACCGCUUUGCUCAGCCCCUCUUAUAGCGUUGCUAGUUGCAGGUGAAGAUUGGAGAUCGUUCCUUGUUGGAACAUUGUUUAUUGUUGGGAUAUCACCAUAUUAUCUGGUUUAUCUUAAUGCACCUAUAUACUUGGUAAAGGGUGGAAGGCUCAGCCUUUUGCCUAGUGUUUGUUCCACUCUUGCCGCCCUAGUUUCCGUCAUAUCGGUGUUAUGUUCCCGGAUUUUGCGUUCCUUACAUGGUUGGGUUAUAAUGGGAACCCCUUGACAGUUCGCCUUGAAUAAAACUUCUCCAGCAAUGCCCAACAUUGGUUUUACCAUUCGCCAUCUAGCCUUUUCUUUCCCUUGGGUUCUGCAGACUCAAGUGUCAUCUUUAUUUAAACCCCCCCUGGGCCAGUGCUCCUCUGAGUGUUGGUCCGACCGAGUAGACUGCGGGGCCACCUCGGGGCAACUUGAGGGUUGGUUUUACUCGUAGGAUGUCUCAUCUGAGUGUGCCCUGAGAACGAGAUAUGUGCAGCUCCUAUCGGGAUUUGUCGGCACAUUCGGGCGGUGUUGCUAGACUUGUUUUACCAUUGUCGAGGAUGUCUUGUAACCUGGAUGCCGAGCCUGAUCGGAUUGUCUUGGGAGAAGGAAUAUCCUUUGUUGACCGUGAGAGCUUGUGAUGGGCUAAGUUGGGACACCCUUGCAGGGAUUUGAACUUUCAAAAGCCGUGCCCGCGGUUAUGGGCAGAUGGGAAUUUGUUAAUGUCCGGUUGUAGAAAACCUGAAGUUGACCUUAAUUAAAACACAUCAACCGCGUGUGUAACCGUGAUGGUCUCUUCUCGGCGGAGUCCGGGAAGUGAACACGGUGUUGGAGUUAUGUUUGACGUAGGUCGUUCUAGGAUCACUUCUUGAUCAUAGUUGUUCGACCGUGCUUUUGCCUUCUCUUCUCGCUCUCAUUUGCGUAUGUUAGCCACCAUACAUGCUAGCCGCUUGCUGCAGCUCCACCUCAUACCUUUCACCUUACCUAUAAGCUUAAAUAGUCUUGAUCGCGAGGGUGUGAGAUUGCUGAGUCCCCGUGACUCACAGUUACUUCCAAAACGAGCUUGCAGGUGUCGUUGAACCGUGCAGAUGACGCAACUGAGCUCAAGGAGGAGCUUAAUGAAGAUCUUGUCCUUUGUGUUGUUUCAUUCUAGUUGAUCAGUAGUGGAGCCCAGUUGGGGUCGAUCGGGGAUAUGUGUAGCAUUUGGGGUAGUCUUCUGUUAUUUUGGCUCCAUAGUCGGGCCCUGAUUGUAUCUGGAUGAUGUAAUGCUUUAUUCUUGUAUUUGUGUGAAGUGGCGAUUGUAAGCCAACUAUGUAUCUUUUCCCUUAUUGUAUUACAUGGGUUGUUUGCGAAGAUUACC
rnacentral:lncRNA from 1 species